GCAAGGAUUCUUUACAAAGGACUGUGUACAUACACGUGAAUGAGCCUACAAGGUGACACUUUAUGAAAUCUUGAUGAAAUUAACAGAGAAAUAUAGAUCACUGAAGACUACCUGACCCAAAAUAGGCCCAUAGUCAGCCAGUUUCUGUCCACAAACAUGUCAGGCACUCUAGUUACAGCUACGAGAACAACAAGGCCAAAAUAUUAAGCACACAAUGUUCUUGGAAAAUAAUAGUGUCUUGCAAGGUCAAGGGUAUCCUCAAGUAACUGCUGUUUUCUUUCAGUCAGGAUCUGGCUCUGUUGUGACUUCAGUAUGUUAAAACAGGCCCGUCUCUAAAGCAACCGUAUUGACGUGGGCUGUAGCCAUAGGGUGAUUCAGGAUGAGUGUCAGCUUGGCAUUCCCUGGAGACAUGCUUGUACGUGUUUACAGCCAUUGAAGAACAGAAUACCCUAACAACAAGCAGACAGUGUUCUGAGCUCAAGUCUGACCUCCAAAGAAACAAUACAGAAGACCUCAUCUUCAUCUCUGUUGUAUCUGUCAAAGGAAUGGACUUCAGGAUAAAGAACUCUACCAGGCCAAGGACAGGAGAUGAAGAACGGAAUGAACUAACACUGGGAAGUUUGAUCCACUGGAAAAGAUACUAUAUCAAGGACUCCCUUUAUACUCAUUGGAGAAGUCUUUAUCAGAGAUACGCUGCUGGCAUGGCUUCCGAUCACCUUAAGUUGAAGGGAGGCUUGAAGUUGAUGAGCAGAAUUUCUCUGCUGAUGGCAAUGAUCUGACCCCUAAGGAGUCCACCACUCCCAGUAUUUUAACAUACAGUUUUCUGAACUCAUCUCUCAUAGCAGCUAGAUUUAAUUACUCUACAAGAAUGUCUCCAAUAAAGAUUUAAGGAAAUGAUGUAGGCAUGUGAAUGGCUGUGGAAUUUUCACCAAUGAUCUUUUAAGAAACCGUAAUAAAACCCAGCGGGCUACCAAAAAAAAAAAAAAAAAAAAAAAGAAGACAAAGAAAAGGAAGACAAAACAAAAUCCAACCAGCUAUCCAAACAACAAUAAGAACAGCAAGAACAAGAAGCUUAUACUAAAUCACCAUGAAAGUAGAUGGAGGUGGGGGGGUGGUUCAUUGAGAAGAGAAGGUAUGAACAGGAAACUAGAUGUGGAAGGUGAACAAGAGAGGAAAGUGGGGGAUAGAAACAAUAAAAAUACGUUAUACACAUAUGAAAAUGCCUCAGUAAGAAUCACUAUAAUUUAUAAUUAAUAUACAUUAAUAUACACUAAUAAAACAUUGACUAUACUACUUAAUGAGCUUGAUAGCACAGCCUGUGUUAAAUAUGUUCAGAAUGCUUAUGUGAACCCACAGCUAGGCACAGUCUUCCAGCCUCGAGGGUCCUGUGGAACUUCUCAAGCGCUAAAGCAGAAUGGCUGUUCAGGUUGUAAUUAUAAGACUGUCAUCCUGAUUGUAAAUAUGUGAUGGUCAUUCAGAAGAAUCCAUUGAAUUUGCUUUCCUUUCUCCUUCUUAAAAAUAAGCAUUUUCUUUACAUAAAGCAUUCAUUAUACUCCUAGAUUAAUCUUUUAGUUAAGGAUCAACGUAUCAGUUAGGUAUCUAUUGCUAUCAUAAAGGACACAAUUAAAAGCAACUUUGGGAGAAAGGCGUUGACUUGGCUUACAUAUGCCAGGUCACAGUCUACUGAGAGAAGCCAAGUCCGGAAUCCAGGUAGGAACUGAAGCAGAGCCAUGGAGGAGCACUGCUUACUGUCUUGCUUUGCAUGGCUUGUUCAUCUUAUAUUAUCCAGGACCACCUCUCCAGGGUCCAGUAAGCUGGGCCCUCACUCAUUGAUCAUUAAUCAAGAAGAUGCCCCAAGGACUUGUUUACAAGCCUUCGGAGGCAUUUUCUCAACUGAUGUUCCUCUCCCUCAAUAACUCUACUUUGUGUCAAAUUGGCAAAUA